rnacentral:misc_RNA from 1 species
GAUGAAGAACGUAGCGAAUUGCGAUAUGUAAUGUGAAUUGCAGAAUUCAGUGAAUCAUCGAAUCUUUGAACGCACCUUGCACCCUUUGGCAUUCUGAAGGGUAUGCUCGUUUGAGUGUCAUUGUACUCUCACACUCCCGAUCUUUGCAUUGGGAGCAGUGGACUUGGGUUUGCUGCUUCACCGUCGCUUACCUCAAAUAGGUUAGUGCAACUCUUGGUUGGACAUAGUACGGCGUGAUAAGUGUUCUUCGCCGGUGCCUCGCAAAGAGGGUGGCCGAUCGGGAUGUUGUGCUCCAAACCGUCUUCGGACAAUCUCUGACGACUUGACCUCAAAUCGAGUAAGACUACCCGCUGAACUUAAGCAUAUCAAUAAGCGGAGGA